GCACAAUGAAAUUUAAAGAUGGAACUCUUAAAAUAAAUAAUAAGACAAUUAGUUAUAUAUAUGCAACAAUACACCUGAUAUUAAACAUACACAUUUGUACUCGAUCAAGACUCCAUUUUCCUAUACUCGAGAGACGGAAGACCUAGACUAAACAACCCUAAUCCUACCUUAUAUGUGUAUAGUUUUAUAUAUUUGUGGUUGUAAAGGUUGGAAAGCUAACUGUACCCUUGUAUUGACUCUGUGAAUAUUUCCUUUGUACAAGGGAAAAUCCCAUUUGUUAUUGCUUCCCUUGGCAAUCCUCACGUAAGUACAAGCAAGUUUGGACGUGCUUAAAAGUGAGUACUUUUUUUUCAUUAACAAAACUCGUUUUUCAAGUACUGCCAAACAUGUUAUUUAAACAUUUUUAAAGAGAGAUGAAUGUUACCACAUUUACAUCCAACGUCAUCGACGUUGAGUAUACUUGACCACUGAUGUUGAAUCAAUUGAGAAACAGUAGAAGGCAGCGGUAGAAGAAGGUAGUAAUCAAAGGAAGAAGAGAAGAAGCAAGAAUGAGGGAUUACAUAGAGGGAAAAGAGGGAGAGAAUGAGGGAAGACACGGAAGGUGGGCAACAACACAAAUAAUUUUCAUUCAUCAACUGAUUUUGAAUCCCAUUACAAUCAUAUUUAUAACAAAAUAAUAAAC
rnacentral:lncRNA from 1 species